UGUAACUCUCAGAUUAAAGAAUAUGUACAAUGUUCAGUGGCUUAAUGCAUAUGUUAUUAAUUAAAUUUUCUAACUGGUUGCAGUUGUAGCAGUGCAGUCUUGUCAGAGGCUGUAAUUGUAGGAACUCUGCUUGAUUUUCCAAAAUUGUGUUAGUUACUAUCGCUCUUUGAUGAAAAAUGCAAGAAGCCGCGAGUGAAGACAACCCUUCUGGAAGUGAUUUAAUUAAGUCCCAUGGUCCAGAUACACAGUUAAUUGCUGAUAUAAGCAAGGAAAAAAUUCCAGAUGACAUUGUUCUUAUUUCUGAAGCUAUUCAAGCAACUGACAAGGAAUGGUAUUCAGUUCUCAAAUCUGCG